UGAGGAUACAACAUCAGUUGAGUUUGCGUCUGUUGCAAUUUGGCCUAGGUUGACCCUCAUUUUGGCUUAAAGUGACUGGACUACCAGCUCUGUCAACACAGAGCAGCCAG